ensembl:lncRNA
UGGACUCUGGCCUCCCACAAAUUUCAGAAAUGUCGCUUUCAAUUCAUGUCAGGGUUUUAAAGUAGCACUUUCCCAAAUUGUAUGAGCAAAUUAGCAGUUUGGAAUACCACACUCAGCUUCGGCAAUCCUUGCCAACCUCAUCCUGCUCAGAGAAGGCCACGCUCAGGCUUUUCAGAGCAGAGAGUAACAUUGUUUCUUGCUGCCCUUUGGCCACUGUGGUACGGUUAGCUGAGGAGAGGCCUUGGCGAUGGCACUGCCAGAGACUGAUGAACAAGGAGAAGCUGAAUAUGGAGGGAAGGGAGAAAAAAGAGGAGACCAGGAAGGAUUGAAGCUGCCCUCUCUCCCUUAGCAUCUCAAGCCAUCUGCCUGCUCUGUCAAAAAAGGUGGCCUUGGGUGUGGCAGCUAAUGAAGCUUUCCUCUGCAGGGGUACCUCACAGAGCACAGAGACGCAAGAAUGUACAGCACCAGGAGUGAACCCUAAUGUAAACCAUGGACGUUGGGUGAUAACGAUGUGUCAGUGUAGGCUCAUCAGUUGUAACAAAUUUAGCGAAUGCCGAACCUGAACCUGACGUCUGUCUCCUGGAAACUUGUGCCCAUCAGUCCCAUAGUGACUCAGAGCACCUCCUCUUCCUCGUGACCGUCCUUCAGAUGUCUACAGAUCACAGGAACAUCCCCCUGAGUAUUUCCUCUGCUUCCAGCUAAGCUUUUAUAUUUCCUUGGACCAUUUUGGUUUUUUCAGCCACUUUAUCUUCCUCCGAACAAGAAGCUGCCUUGUUCUUAGAUGACCCAUCUCCAUGGCCAGAGUGGAUGGGUACAGAGGAGGUAUUGACGCAAGCUGUCCGAUCCGAUUUCUGCUCUCGGAUUUUUCAAACUGGCGCUGAAGUCAGUCAGAUCCUCUCUGGGUAGGAGCUGACGGAUGUGAGGUUUGGGAUGUGUUGACAGCCGUGUUUUCUGCCGUGUGUGGGAAGAACACCAUGUAAGAGAGACAAUGAAGGUGACCCUGAGAGGAGCAGAGAAAUGGAGGGGGAGGGACUGCCGGCAGCCUUCGGGCAUCUGGAUGCGGUUGCCCCGGAAGCCCAGCGCUAUCCCUGUCCUUCCGGUGGAUUGUCAUUCAAUCCUUUUUGUAUUCUGUGAACCAAUAAAGUCCCUUUGUCUAAACCAGUUUACAGUGGAUUUCUGAGACUUUCAAAUAAGAGAAUCAAACUGGCCACAUCUGAAAACCUAGAGCGUGGGCUUUGGAAUUCAAAAAGCCUCGGUUUGAAUCCUAUGUUCGCCACUUAUUACCUUUGUGAUCUUUAGGAAAUUUCCUAAGUACUCUGACCUCGUUUUCUUCACCUGUAAAAUGGGACCAGCAUUCGGUACGUUACCGCUUUGCUAUAAGGAAUAAGGAAGGAUCCUGCCUAUAAAGGCCACUUCUGCACCUGACACACAGUAGUCUCAUCCCAUUGGCAACAGCAAAGCAAAUUUUAUCUUUAUUACUACCGAGUUUCAGUUAAUUCAGGCAUUUACACAAGCUGUCACAAAAUUUGUUUCCUCACCCUGAACUGACUUUUUGAGCCUAAUUGCUGGAUUUUCAGAAUGUUUCUGCUCACUUUCCCCUUUGUUAAUUCCAGAAAAAUUGUUUAACAGAAAUGUUGAAGUUUUUCAAAGGACAGAUGCUCCUCUGUCCCCUAGGAAGCUUCUGACUUGUGUUGUUUUCAGAGUUUCAUGACCAGGGCAACAGAAGCAGUCAAUGUUUGAAGUCUUUCUCCUCUGCUGUGGGUAAAUUCUUGGGCCCUUUCCCAGAAAUGACUUUCCAGAAUAAUUGUUCUAGAAAGCUCCACGGAGACUGCCUGUCUGCUGAACUGUCACACGUUGGAGUUAAUUCACAGUUCCCGUCAUCUAUCCACAAUGAUAUGCAAAAAGCCCUUGGCUUGGAGAUAGAAGAUUCUAGGCUCAAUUUCCAGCUUUCGAAGUUUCCAGACUCCUCGGGUUACGAGCUAUACUGAUAGUUGUCGUAUACAUUCAGUCCAUAGUGCACAGGCAAUGACAUAGGAUCACGACCAAAUAGAAAAGGAAUUGAUCUCCAGGAUUUGCUGCUGAUCGUAACUGAUGAUGGUUCCGGUUGACCCCUUUUGGGGAACGGUGAGCAGAUUUCCAGCUGUAUAAGGGAUGGUUGUUCUAUGUCCGGCAGGAGCACUGUUGUGUUUCAGAAGUAUGGGAAUGAUGUCGGAAAGCAAAACGAGUGGACUACAGUGGACAUCUGGUUUUGGUGGUCAAGCUUCAACGUCUGGAAACUCUUCUACCUACCACAUGAGGCAGAGACCACCUGCCACAUCUUCCAUGAGAGACGCUGAAAAUACCAAAUGUUUGCCUUGCAGCUAGGCGUGGGGGCGUGAGCUAGGCUCUGCCAGUGAGAGGCAUCUGCCCCAGAACUCGGAGACGCCAGGCAGCAGGGACUGUGUGCAUUCAUUUGGUGAGACUGGCAGAUGCAGGGCCAGCUCUCUCCAGAGCUCAGGGCAGGAGGGGGCUUCCGGGGUGCCAAUAGUUCAUGCCAUGCUCUGUGCUUAGGGACUGUGGCAGCAGCGUCCACAGGGACCGGGUCUGAGAUGUGAUCUUGACAUGGUUACUGACCACACCACUUUAGAGCAUCAUUUUUGGGUGUGGAGCACGGAGAGGGAGACAUUUCCUCCCUUAUUCACAAUUGUGUGCUUGGCAUUAAAUGAUGGGAUGCAAGUGAAAGCCCCUGAGGCAUGAGGCUUAUUUUCAGAAAAUGUUUGUUCCGUCAGAAUCUUGAGCUUGCUAUUGGAUGGUAAAUGAGCAGUUCUGAGAGACAAACUGUGGAUCUCUUUCUCAAAGCACAAGUGAGAAGUGGAUGGAGUUCCAGGGCGGGUAUAGGGUUUCAGCCUCGGCCAGAAGCCCAUCAAGCACUGAUGAGUUUUCUGUGGGACUCCAGGGCAGCACAGAUGACCCAAUGGUCCCCCUGGUCAGUGUGAGGAAGCAUGGUUGGUAGUACGACUGUGCGCAACUCCAGGGGACGCUAUGCAUAUUGUUAUCUAUAGAGGAACAGAGAUGGUAAAACUGUGAGGUUGCCCAUGAGCCAGCCACUUGGCUGAGGGAUGGGAUGCUUAACUCAGGGACCAUGUUGGGGUGGGUACUGCUGAUGGGGGCUGAAGGAGAGUAGCCCCCUCAUCUACCAGCACUACCCCAUCCCUCCAGGAAGAAAAGGAAGAUUGUGUCUUCAUGCGGGAGGGGGCCAGGGUAACGCAGAACACUAUUAAAGAAAACCAUGCAUAAAGCCUGUGUCAAGACCACCAACUAGCACACGCCAACGUCAGGGCUGGGGUUGGGGAAUCUCUCCUCAGCCCCAGGACGCUGUCCCCUUGUGAGCAAAACUCCCCUCCUCAUCCCUGUGGGGCUCUAGGGGGGAGCGAAGCCUCUGAGAGUUCAGGGAGACAGACGAGGGAUGGGGAAGGAAGUUCAGAGAGAACUUGGGCUUCUGGUGACAAUGAUGAUAAAAUAUGAAUUUGCUGCUAUGGACUGAAUGGUGUCCUCCCCAAAGUUCAUGUGCUGAAGCCAUGACCUCCAAUGUGAUAUUCAGAGAUGGGGCCUUUGGGAGGUGAUUAGGGUGAGAUGAGGUCAUGAGAGGACCCAUGGUGGGAUUAGUGACCUUAUAAGAGAAGGGAGGGACAUCAGGGCCAGCUCUCUUCAUCACGUGAAGACGCAGCAAGAAGGCAGCUGUCUGCAAGCCAGGAGGAGGGCCCUCACCAAGAACUCAAUCUGCUAGCACCCUGAUCUUGGACUUCCCAGCCUCCAGAACAAAUGUCUGGUGAGAAACAAAUGUCUGUUGUGUGAGCCACCAGUCUAUGCUGUUUUGUUAUUGCAGCCUGAGGAGACUAAGGCAACUGCAUAUUCACCCCAGACAAGUGAUUUUUUUUUGCUGGGAAAGAUUCACCCUGAGCUAACGUCUGUUGCCAAUCUUCCCCCUUUUUUUUUCCUCCCCAAAGCCCCAGUGCAUAGUUGUAUAUUCUAGCUGUAAGUCCUUCUACGUGAGCUGCUGCCACAGCAUGGCAAUUGACAGAUGGGUGGUAUGGCUCCACGCGUGGGAACUGAACCCCGGUCGCCGAAGUGGAGUGUGCUGAACUUUAAAACCACUAGGCCACCAGGCCUGGCUCACAAGCUAUUUUAAUAAAUGGAUUUGAUUCCAGAAAUCAUUUGAAUGGAAUAGAAUAUGAACAAGAAUGGCACAAAAGACAUUUACUGUGGUUUUUUGGGGUGCUCAGGACCCAGAAAUGUCGACACCAUUUUUAAGAAUAAACUUUCACAUUCAGAUAUAGCUGUGUGACUCCUCAGUCUGCUUACACGUGUCUUUGAACUUAGACUUCAGACCCAAAGAACAAUCUCAUCAUCUUCCCCACACCAAGUUUUCCUUGUUUGUGGCACCUGCACUAACCAACUGCCCAACCUAGGAACUGGCCCCACCCUCGGCCACUCCCUCUGCCUGCCCAUCAGUCAUCCAGUCAUCACUUCCUCCUUUUCAAUAUGUUUGGGUUACGACCAGUUACCUCGUCCUCACUGCCACCAUCUGCCACCAUCUCUCCCUGGACCUCUGCCACUGCGUCCAACAGGUCUUCUUCC